UACGAGGGGGGCAAGCGUUGUUCGGAAUUAUUGGGCGUAAAGGGCGCGUAGGCGGUGCGGUAAGUCACCUGUGAAAACUCUGGGCUCAACUCAGAGCCUGCAGGCGAAACUGCCGUGCUUGAGUGUGGGAGAGGUGCGUGGAAUUCCCGGUGUAGCGGUGAAAUGCGUAGAUAUCUGGAGGAACACCGGUGGCGAAGGCGGCAUCCUGGACCGGCAUUGACGCUGAGGCGCGAAAGCCAGGGGAGCAAACGGG
rnacentral:rRNA from 1 species